ensembl:lncRNA
GGACCAUUCCUCAGCAAUCUUUCACAAACACCUUUCUCAGGGACUGGAAUCCUGACCGAUUUGCAAGAACUGAAACAUCGAGACUGCUCUGGAUGGCAGCGCUUUACUCGCACGGCAGCUGUUGACAAGAGCAUUCUCCAGCCGCCCGUACUCCCAGGGGAGUCUUGCGAAACGCCGGGAAGGCAGCUGGCUCCUCAGGCCUGCUCAGGACAACUCCCCCGCCGCGCCGCCCGCGCAGGCCGGGCCGGGCAAGGGCCGGCAGAAGCUUCCAGAGGCCUGGCCGGCUGCGGCCCGGGUAGGGUCCGGCGGCUGCCGCCCAGAGCUGGCACACACCCUGAUGGGGCAGCCCUGCGGGGGGCGGCGGGCGCGGCGGGCGCGGAGGGGCCGGAGCGCCGCGGGGGGGGGGGGGGGGGAGGCCCCCGCCGCCCUCAGGGCCCCGCCGCCGCGCCCGCCCCCCACACGCGCCCCCCGCGCCCCCGGGAUCCUGGCACCAGCCGCCGCGUUACGGGAAGCCCCGCCCCUUCCGUCAGCACCGCCUUCUGGAUGACGUCACUGGCUCCGCGGGCCAAUGGCGGCGUGGGUGGAGGAGGAGGGAAGGGCGCGCCGGGGCUGAGGCGGGGCGGGAGCGUGACCGGGCGCGGGGCCGCGCGUGCGGGACGGCGGCGCGAUGGCGCGAGGCGGCUGUGCCGCUAUUUAGGGGCUGGGACCUUGCAGCGCGGGCGGUGGCGCCGGGAACUUCUGGAAAUCCAUUUUCCCGAAACCUUUGGUCUCUUGCGAUUGAUGUGAUAAUGAGCUUUAAUAGACUGAACACCUUCCUGUGGUGGUUGUGGUGUUAUCUAUACUUCCUGGCUUCCAGGCUGGCUUUGCUGGCAAGUACAUGUUAUUUUAGCUAUAGUUUUUUAAACUGACAUGGUGAUUUGUAGGUCACUUGGACAGGAAUCGCACCUUCUCUGAAAUGGAGAGAUAACCCAUUUUGUAAUGGCAUAUCCCUGUGUGCAUUUUGGGGCAGGUCUCAUGAUUUAUAAUAUAAAAUGAAUUUUUAAGAUUUCUCUCUUGCUCAGAAUAAGUAGUGAUACCUGUUUUGCACAAAAGCCUGAUACUUCUUCACAAACUAUUGGUCACAGGUUGAUCUUAAAACUCAACAUGUGCUUCUUUGUGCAUAUAAGUUGUGAUUUUAGGGUUGUUAGUAGCUUUUCAUUGACACUGCAUGAAGCAUCAAUUUAUGGAUCAGACAUAAAGGCUUAGUGCUUUCCUUUCAAAAUGGCUGCAGGAUGUGAAGGAUAACAAAAGUCCCAUUUGAUUUGGAUAUUAAAUGGGAUGAUCUUAUGGCAUAUGCAUUUUAGAAGUUUGUCUUUACAGAAAUAAUCAAAGCAUUUUAACUUUUUUUUUCCUCUUUGAGUUAGUUUCUUUUCUGUGAGUUAAGGACUGUCAUCAGCAGCGUUCUAAAUUGACCAUGUUGGUUUUACUCAGUAUUUUGAUGGAUUUUGAUCUUUGGCCACUAAACCAUGUGAACAACCUGGCAUACUUCUAAAGUCAGUUUCUUUCCCUGUCUCCCUUGCCUCUUCACUUAGUGAUCCACAACAGCUUCAUAGUAUAAAGUGUUGGUUUGGCUCUUUGGUUUUGUUUGUUUUUAAUAGAAGGCAUCUGAACUGGCCAGCUGUUUCAGUGUUCAUUCAGCAUUGGGUUCAGCUUUCACCAUAGAUGUAUAUAUAUAUACACUGUACCAGUCAGUAAAACAUAAAACUUGCGUUAAGCCGUCCAUAGUGAUUGAAAAAAACUGAGUUUUCUGUUGUCUAGACUAACAUCUUAGUCUGACUUGGAAUUGUGAAUUGUGUACAGUUAGUGUUUAGCAUCACUGUUGAAUGAUGGCACUGUCUUUUAAGGUUUGAUGUUGCUUAUAUGCAGGGUUUCUGUACUGUCUUCACCUGAGCAUUUUUACACACUCAGAUAAGAAAACAAUAGUUUGCACAGAAGUAUUUUCCUCAUUCUAAUAUGAAGUGUGGUUCCUUGUUUUGUUAGUUUUGUCCCACCAUUUAUUUUGAUUUUUUUCAUUUCCUUAUGGUUUUCAGGUAGGAAGGAUGGAUGGAAGUGUCUAGUGUAAUUCUGGAUCUUUCCCGUAGAACUAAAUUUCAAUUAAGAAUCAGUCUUGUAAAAGCCAGAGACACUAAUGGUUUUACAAAUAGCGCACAUUAGAAGGGAUUGUAAUAGCCCCUUUGUGGGUUUAGAGGUGUGUAGCUUUAGUGUUCUUCGAACCAUGUUGAUCAUCGGGGGUGGGGAUAAGCAAAAUACGUCAGAGCAGCCAGAUGCAGAUACAUGCUGAAUCCUGGCGUGGCUUUGACUGCGGUUUCAGCGGCUUCGUUCCCAUACUGGAGGGGGGUGGCUUUCCACUUUACUGUCCUUUGCAGGUGAUGGGGCAUGAAGCUCCAUUCUCUUGCCUUUUAGGAGCUGACUGCAGUGGAAUUGAGUAGUAUGAUUUGUGGAAGGUUUAUCUGCUCCCUCAUAACAAUUGCUAAACUUUCCAAAGUGCAAAAUAGCAGGGAUUUGAACUUCAGUCUCUUACAUGUGAAUGAAUCUGCUUGGAGCAACUGAAAUGUUGUUUUUCAAGUCUGGAAGACAGUUGAAUAUAGAAAUGGCAUUUAUAUGAAAAAAAAUAGUAAUUUAAUUUUCAUUUCCAGUGGAAAAAAUCAUACUUUAGAACAAAAUGUGUGAUAAUUAUUUAUUAUUGUUUACUUAUUAAGUUGGUUAUUGCUUUUUAUUUUCAUUUGCUUUACAGUAUGUUUUUAAUAACCUGAGCCAUACUUAAUAACUGCUGGCCUAAAAAUCAGUGAAUAGUUUUGUGGAAAUAUUGUUUGACUUUAAUUAAUAAUGACCCAAAAGAAAAUCAGUAACUUUGUAAUGAUGUAAUAGCUUAGGUGACCCUGCCAUUACUCUAAGGUGGCAUGAAUCAUGAUGGCAAAUGAGAGAGAAAUUCAAAACUUUAAAAACUUUUCUUUUUACAUCUGUUUCAUUCUUUCCCCUUCAGUGUGAAAGGUGCUUCUGCUGUUGUUUUGCAGCUUUUGGCAAUUAGCAGUGAAGCAGAGCUCCUGUUUCUUUUCACUUAGCUUGUAGUUGCCCUUAGGCUUCUGAUGAAUUUCAGAUCUUCUGCAACUCAAAUUGUUCCAGUUAAAUAAUUUAAAUUAAUCGUGCUUGAACUAACAGAUCUGUCUGUAGUAGAGCUCAAUGGGCUUUGGUUAACAAGCAGUAUUCUGGUAAGUGUUAGUGCAAGUCUAGUCAUUAAAGUAGAUCUCUAUGAGCUGGUUUUAUUUGGUGAUUUAAACUAAAAGAGACUACUCUUUAGAAUUUGGUUGUAUUCACCUUGCAAAUUUAUAAAAAUGUGUUAAACUAGUUGUUUUUUUUGUUUUUUUUUUUUUUUUUUAAAUUCAGAAAUUCAUGUGUGGGUAGAAACCUUAUUUUUCAGAUGUUGGACACUUUACUCCCAAAAUAAGCAAGAAUCAAUUGGUAUAGUUAUUUCACUGUACCCUUGUAAUAAAUGUCCAUUGCAUUUAAAGCA